CGGAGGAAAGCGUCCUGUUAUAACUGAGAAUCCCUAAGUGGCAACAUUUGCCGGCUCUGAACCCUGGGUUGCAUCUCAAGCUAACAGCAGCAGCACACCUACCAAGUCGCACCCAGGUCACCCAGGCUAACACCUCAUUCUCUUCCUCAGUCCUGUUGCCUCGACAGUGACCCUUUCUAAGUCAAAGUCCUUGAAGCUUCAGGAAGACGCAAGCAAUAGAUGACAUCCUGAAAAUUUAGGGACACAUUAAGAGAUUUCCUUUUUAUAGCAUUUGAAAUGUCUUUAUGCCUGUGUGAGUGUGGUGGUGGUGGUGGGGGUGUAGGGCAGAUGUCAACCUCAGAUGUUUCUCAGGUGACAUCUAUUUUAAUUGAUUAGUUGAUUAGUUAAUUAAUUAAUGAGACAGGGUCUCUCGAUGGCCCAGAGCUCUCAGCUAGGUUAGGCUGGCUGGCCAGUAAAUCUAAUCAAUCCACCUGCCUCAGCCUCCACAGUUCUUGGAUUACAAGUCAAGCAUUCCCCACUGUACCUGACUUGGCAUUUGACAUUUCUGUGAAGGGCACUAUUGC
rnacentral:lncRNA from 1 species